rnacentral:tRNA from 1 species
GCCGGAGUGGCGAAAUUGGUAGACGCAUCGGACUUAAAAUCCGAUGGAGUGUAUUACUCCGUGUCGGUUCGAGUCCGACCUCCGGCA